GGAGUAGCCUUUAGAAACACAG
rnacentral:miRNA from 1 species